rfam:Mastigocoleus testarum BC008 Contig-88, whole genome shotgun sequence.
GUUGAAACAUCAUAAAAUCCCUAUCAGGGAUUGAAAC